AGUUUUCCUUAUCUGAAAUGGUUAAGUAAGGAAUGAGCUACACUAGCCCAGUAAGGACAUCACACUACCUCACUGUCACAGAAGUAAAGGUUGGUAGAAAACAAAAACGACCAAUGGAGCAUAAUUUAUAACAAACUCAUUUAUCAAUAAUAAAAAUUUUUACUGUCUACUUACCUCGGUGGGAUUCAUGAAAACAACUUAGGAGAAACAAUAACAUCAUAAACAUCAUAAGAUCAUGCACACUCUGUAACAUAACACAUAU
rnacentral:lncRNA from 1 species